UACGAAGGGGGCUAGCGUUGCUCGGAAUCACUGGGCGUAAAGCGCACGUAGGCGGCGUCUUAAGUCACCUGUGAAAUCUCCUGGCUCAACUGGGAGCUUGCAGGCGAAACUGCCGUGCUGGAGUGUGGGAGAGGUGCGUGGAAUUCCUGGUGUAGCGGUGAAAUGCGUAGAUAUCAGGAGGAACACCUGUGGCGAAAGCGGCGCACUGGACCACAACUGACGCUGAGGCGCGAAAGCUAGGGGAGCAAACAGG
rnacentral:rRNA from 1 species